rnacentral:rRNA from 1 species
ACGCUCGACACCUACGGGAGGCAGCAGUGGGGAAUAUUGCACAAUGGGGGAAACCCUGAUGCAGCGACGCCGCGUGAGUGAAGAAGUAAUUCGUUAUGUAAAGCUCUAUCAGCAGGGAAGAAAGUGACGGUACCUGAGUAAGAAGCCCCGGCUAACUACGUGCUAGCAGCCGCGGUAAUCUGAGCGGGCUGGCAAGGC